rnacentral:rRNA from 1 species
UCGGGAAUUUUGGGCAAUGGGCGCAAGCCUGAUCCAGCCAUGCCGCGUGAGUGACGAAGGUCUUCGGAUUGUAAAGCUCUUUUGGCGGGGACGAUAAUGACGGUACCCGCAGAAUAAGCCCCGGCUAACUUCGUGCCAGCAGCCGCGGUAAUACGAAGGGGGCUAGCGUUGUUCGGAAUUACUGGGCGUAAAGCGCACGUAGGCGGACUGAUAAGUCAGGGGUGAAAUCCCGGGGCUCAACCUCGGAACUGCCUUUGAUACUGUUAGUCUCGAGUCCGGAAGAGGUGAGUGGAAUUCCUAGUGUAGAGGUGAAAUUCGUAGAUAUUAGGAAGAACACCAGUGGCGAAGGCGGCUCACUGGUCCGGUACUGACGCUGAGGUGCGAAAGCGUGGGGAGCAAACAGGAUUAGAUACCCAUGUAGUCCCUGAGCGGGCUGGCAAGGCGCAU